GCUUAAUAACUAUUAAUAAGCAGCAAAUUAGGAGUUUGUUAAGCUAAAAGUAAUUUAUUAAUAGCAAUAAAUUGCAAACAAUUGUACCUUUAAAAAAUAAAGUGUUACCAAACUUUUAAAUGUAUGUUUUGGUAAUUACUGUGCAUAUUUGGUACUAAAAAUUAAACAAAAUAAUAGUAUAAUACAAAUUAGCAAAUGAAAAAUAUAUAUAAACUGUGAAUAAAUAUUACCAAGUACAGUACUGUAUUAAGUGGGAAAUCCUUAGCACUACAAUGUAAUGCAAUAUAAUCUAAACAUUUUUAUAAAUUCAGAUUUAUUCAUUUUUCACUGUUGAAAUGAGAACAAACAAGAUAAACCAAGUAUUAAAAAUAAAAUAAUAAUACACAAAACAAGCUUAAAACUUG
ensembl:processed_transcript